AGGAUUUCACCUUCAGAGAGAGAGAGAGAGAGAGAUGGGAGAGGGUGGAAAAACCCCGCGGCCAUUUCCUGGUGCGCCCGGGGAGGCAGAGCAGCAGCGUGCCACCGCGGCCGAUGGGCGGGUGUGAAAGUCCACCAGCUAUCGCAGGGCGCUGCUCUCCGCACCCUGGGAGGCUGGCAGCCUUCCUCCCCGCGGCUCAGCUCAUCCUCCUCUCCCCGGGCACGGGUUAUUGCCUGGCAGAUUGCAGGACCAGUGCUCUCCUCAAAGCUGCGAGAAGGAGAAAAAUGGUUCCGUAAAGACGGAAAUUUCAGCUGGCAGGGCAGGGUGCCUCAACAGGGACUCGUUUCCAUGACCAAGGGUCAUCCAAGGGGAUGGAUAUUCAAAAAUACACAACAAUUUUGAUUGUCACUGGCACUGCAGGACAUCAUUUAGGGGAUCUGUCUUCCUCCCCCCAAGGACUGGAAAGGGACCGGCUACUGAGGAGAGCCAAAACCUUCAGCGGUGGCACCUGGCGGUGCAGAGGAUGGGGAGUGGGAGAGCCUUACCCAGCUUGUGGGAGGUGGAGCUCUGCAGGGCUUGCUCCCCAAUCUUCUCAAUCGCCUUAAAAUAGACUUCGGCUGCUUUGGCUAGUGCUGCGUGGAGAGGAGAGGGGUGGUAAGGGUCUGCCCUGCCUUCCCGCAGCACGAUGUGGAGCCCGGGCCGGGCAGGACCCCACUCACCAUGGAAAGCACGCAGGGCCCCGUGCUCCACAACGGCUGCGGACAGGGGAGCGACAGCGAGGGGACGUGUGAGCAGCCUUAUCCCUGAGCCUGCCUGGGUGAAGGCCACCCUUAUUGCUCAGCCACCGACACGGCUUUAUCCCGGCCACGAUCUGGUGUGCUGCCAGCCUCAGCAGCUUGAUAAGGGAAGGGAUGGACUGCUGCGGAUCGCCCUCUCUGUUUUUAUUUGCCGGAUUUAUCAGAGGGUUUUUAUUGCUCGCAGGAUAGCAGCUCGGAGGCCGGGAUAAGGAAUUUCCCCUACUCCCGACCCUCGCUGCCUUUCUGCAGCACCCGUGUGCCCAGGGAAGAGCGAGGGGGAUCCGACUGCUCUUCGCAGCAAGGGGGAAAAGAGCUGACCGAACUGAUGCUCGCUACCAGCAACCACGGUGUGUGACCCUUCAGAAAUCACCAAUUUCUUCCUGGCUUUGCCUUCAGACCCACACCACGCAGCCCAAAUCCCCCGGGGAUGGACCCAGCCCUCGGCUGCCCACCCCAGGGAGCCUCCCUGGGGAAACAGCUCUCUUCCCAGCGAGGCGGCAGCCUGCGGUGCCGGCGCUCACCUUAUAGAUGGAGAUGGUGGAUCUGUAGGACAGGUCCAUCUCCGGAGCCUUUUCUCUCUCCUGCGGAGGAGGAAGGGGCGAGGAGAGCGCGAGGAGCUGUGCUGGUCCAGAGGAGCCUUUUCCACGGAGCUGGCUGGAUGGAGAGAGCCUGUCCCCGGCCAGGUAUGACAGCAGGAAGGCACGGCCGUGGUGCAAAGGGAGCGGGGCGCUGCUGGGGGUUUAAUAAUUCACCAGCCGGGAGGCUGGAACUUGAUCCCAGGAUGUAACCGGACUCUGGAGGGAGAGGAAUCCUGCGGCAGGCAGCACGGGCAUGUGACCGCCUCCUUCAAUUAUUGAUCGCUGCCCGGCACCCGGCUCCCCCUGCCCUGGCACCCGCAGAGCCUGCCACCUGCCAGAAGGACAUCUUCCAGCCUCCAGCCCUCCGAGGGGGCUCUCGGAGCCUCCUCGCGCUACCGCAGCAUCCUCGGGUCCCCAGGACAGCCAAUUCACCUCCUCAGCCCAUGCGAAGGGAAGAGCUCCGUGUCCCCAGGAGCCCAAUUUGUCAUUUCCUAACCGUGAGACUGCAAGCUCAGCCCCCCGUGGGAUGUUGCAGGACGCAGAGGCACAAAACACGGAGCACAUCACAGCAGAACUGAAUCUUAGCUUCUCUUUAUUUCAAGCCAUGUUAGUUUUUGUUCGUAACGGCAGCUGAAGAAGUCAGUUUUUUCAGGUUACUUCUCAGAACUUCCAAGGGAUACAUACGUCAUGUAUAAAUACACAAAGUUUGCUACAGAAACAUUUAGUACAGCAGUCACGACGGGAUUUCCAGCAGUAAAAACGACAAAUCCCAAUUGCUACAGGGUCAGUUGCUUUGGUGGGACCUGAGCUCAGGUUCGAUUGCACGCUAACACAGAGAAAAUCCCUCUGCUGUUAUCCCUCGUCUUGAGCUUGCCACGAGACGAGGCAGGUUUUCACAUCUCAGCCCUCGAGCAGACUGUCACAAGCCAGGGGACACAAAACAGCCCCUGGGGGGGGGUCUGCUCCCCCCAGAGGUGCUGUCAGAACCUCAGGCACCUCUGGAGGGAAAAGGGGAGGGCGUUACAGGUGGCAACUGGUUCAGGAAGGGUUCCCCCUUCUCCCCAGUGCCAGUCACAGUAUUUUCCAUCUCUCUACCGCAGAAGGCUGCAGAGUUUCUGCCUCCCUCCAAGCCAGGAGUGUCGAGCAAAGGAUCCCUUUCCCCACCCUAUACUCAGAACCAGCUCGGUCCCAGCAGGGAAAGCAAUCCUUGGAGCUUUAUCUGGCGUUGGCCCGUUCUGUGAUGCAGGAAGAUGCGCAGUGCUUUGUCCCUGGGGGUGCUGCACAGACAGGAGCCGGGCUCCAGCUGCUCCAGCUCGGGGUGUAGGUGGGGGCUCUGGCUCCUGGGAAGGGCUUUAGGGUCAGGGAGCAGGGCAGCAAAACCAAGCAGAGUAGUGGAGAUGGGGCUGGAGUACAAGAACUGUCAGUA